UGGAGAUGUCUGUGUUUCCAGGCCCAUGGGGAUCACCAGGUCCAUGGAGGUGUCUGUGUUCCCAGGCCCAUGGACAUGUUCAUGUUCCCCUGGUCCAUGGAGAUGUCCAUGUUCCUCAGUACCCUCAUAGCAGCAUUAGCCAGGACUCCCUGUUUGUUUUGUCCCAAGCCUUCAGUCCUGUUUUGCUGCCACCACAAGUGCCCAGUGAGGCUGCAGGCUCCCUGCUGGCCGUGUCCCUGCUCCCAGGGUGGGGUGUGGUGUCACAUCCCUGCCUGGGCACAGACACCUCGGCAGCCCCACAAACCUCUGGUGCCUUCCCAGUCGCUGAGCUCCUCUGGGGUGAUCUCCAGGCUGUGCUGCCAGCCAGCCUGGGCUGUCCCUGGCUAUCUCCUGCUGCCAGGACAGUUUCCUCUUCCCUUGCCUUGUCACUUUGCUGUGACAGGCACGAACAACCCGGCCUCCAGAUGAAGGCAAUACUGACAGCAGAAAGUCGGGAAAGAUUUGCAUUAUCCUUGUUCAAAUUUGGCUGGAACUGUCAGGUUUCAUAACGAGUGUUUAGGACAGAACCCCAGCUCAGGGUGGGGAGGACAAGUAGGAGUGAUAAACACAGAUGGCUCUUGUUGUGCAGCUCCUUCUGGAAGUCUGGAGAAAUCGCUGCUGGUGAGCUGAGGAUCUCAUUGGGAUGGGCAGUGGGGGAAGGUGCUGGAACCAGGAGCUUGUAUGGAAUGAAUGACACUUUAUAAAACUGUGAUUUCUUGAAGUUAACAUUUUUGACCUGCAUUUUCACAGGGAAAAAAAAAAUAAAGCUAUAAAAAGAGAA